CUAUUACAUAAGUGACAAGUGACAGUUUCGUUAAUAUCGAUUUCAACCACGUGAUUAUAAUCCAUUGUAAAUCAGUCAGAUCAACAGUAACCGAGAUCGGAACUCUGAAAUACAGCUAACCAGUACGAUUACAAAACCUACAGCUAACCAGGACUUUGAGAAUCAGAAAACACGAUCGGAUACGCCACAGAAAUCGAAUAAAUAUAUCUUUACACAUCGUUGGAUUGUUAUACGGUUUGUGGCGAAAUCCUCAUGGGAACCUAACGCAACAAUAUGACUUUCAUGUUUCCAACGGCACCGCUGGUCAUAUUUGCCUCCAUUAAAGUUGUGGUAUUUCGGCUCCCUAUGAGGGCUAUAAUAAAAUCAUCAUUUUCACAAUUGUGAGAAUGUGAUCAUAUCCAGCUUUCAGGUACUUGAAUUGGGGCACGCGCUUUUUUCAUUAACCUUGCAUAAGCGUUUCCCCAUCUGUUCGUACUAAAAUGGUCGUCAAAUACGAAAUGGUCGAGAUUACAAAACUGCAAUAGCGCUUAUAGAUAAGACAUUCUAUAAGGCAUCUUUAGGACUUAUUAAGCUGGAAAAUGUAAUCAAGGAAGACGAUAACGCUUACUUUGUUUGAUUGGUACUUUUGCCUUUUAUAUCCGUACCGCAAAUAAAGACGGCCAAAGCGAGUUGAAUUUUUAUUAAAUUGUGCAAAUUGUAAAUAUAAAAAGCACAAGUACACGUGUACAUUACGCGUUUGUGCGCAAUAUAUUUAAGGUAAUAUAUGCAACACAAAACUUUCUUUAUCACAAAAAGCGAAUAUCCAAUUUUUUUUAGAGAAUAGGAUUGUACCAAGGGAGCACGGCAGUAUGUGUUCCUUAACGCGCAAUUUAUAUUAUUACGAAAAUAAACCACUUUGUUAUGCAACA